GGUGAACCUGCGGAAGGAUCAUUACCGAGUUGAUUCGAGCUCCGGCUCGACUCUCCCACCCUAUGUGUACCUACCUCUGUUGCUUUGGCGGGCCGCGGUCCUCCGCACCGGCGCCCUUCGGGGGGCUGGCCAGCGCCCGCCAGAGGACCAUAAAACUCCAGUCAGUGAACUUCGCAGUCUGAAAAACAAGUUAAUAAACUAAAACUUUCAACAACGGAUCUCUUGGUUCUGGCAUCGAUGAAGAACGCAGCGAAAUGCGAUAAGUAAUGUGAAUUGCAGAAUUCAGUGAAUCAUCGAAUCUUUGAACGCACAUUGCGCCCCUUGGUAUUCCGAGGGGCAUGCCUGUUCGAGCGUCAUUUCAACCCUCAAGCUCUGCUUGGUAUUGGGCCCCGUCCUCCACGGACGCGCCUUAAAGACCUCGGCGGUGGCGUCUUGCCUCAAGCGUAGUAGAAAACACCUCGCUUUGGAGCGCACGGCGUCGCCCGCCGGACGAACCUUUGAAUUAUUUCUCAAGGUUGACCUCGGAUCAGGUAGGGAU
rnacentral:rRNA from 1 species